UUGGGACCUGUCGUCAGGUACUGCCCCCUAUCAGGAGGCCCUUCCUGGACACUUUGUGCUGACCUCUGUGGCCUGGUGCCUGAGUGGUGCAGGGAGAAACAGAGUGAGGACUCGGGAUGCUCGGAAAGCUGGAGAUGGGAUCAGUGUCAUUUGAGGACGUAGCUGUGGACUUCACGUGGCAGGAGUGGAAGAAGCUGGAUGCUGCUCAGAGGACCCUCUACAGGGAUGUGAUGCUGGAGACCUACAGCAGCCUGGCAUUCGUGGGGCACUGCACAGCCAAACCUGAGUUGAUCAUUAAGUUGGAGCAUGGAUUUGGGCCUUGGAGUAAAGCAGAAGCCUCAGUCUGGAACUUUCCAGAUGUUCGAAAAGCACAUGUUCCAAUUGAGACUAUCCAGGAAAAGGAAGAGAGGUAUUUGUGUGAAGAGAAAACUACCAGUAGCAAUAUAUCUAAUGAAGAAGGGGCUGAAGCACAACUAAAGGUUCAACAGAAAAUACACCAAGGAGAAAAGCCAGAUUCUUGUGUGGAAACCUCCUGCCAAAGGCCCCAGCACGAGAAGAGUCACACACGCAGGAAACACUAUGACUGUGGGGACUGUCAUGAAGCUGUCCGUGGUAAGUCACCACCCACAGAACACCAGAGCACGCAGACUAAAGAGAAGACCUAUGAGUGCAAAGAGUGCCAGAAAGAGUUCUACCACAAGUCACAUCUCUUUCGACAUCAGAAAACUCAUACAGGCAAGAAGCCCUUUGAAUGUGACGAAUGCCAAAAAGCUUUCUACCACAAGUGCCAUCUCGUCCAACACCAGAGGAUUCAUACCGGGGAGAGGCCCUAUGAGUGUAGAGAGUGUGAGAAAGCCUUCCGCCGCAGGUGGCUUCUGACUCUACAUCAGAGGACUCACACAGGGGAGAAGCCUUAUGGCUGUAAAGAGUGCAGGAAAGCUUUCUUCUACAAGUCGCACCUCACUCGACACCAGAGAACCCAUACAGGCCAGAAGCCCUACGAAUGUCAUGAGUGUAAGAAAGCUUUCUGGCAGAAAUCAAACCUUACUGCACACCAGAGAAUCCAUACCGGUGAGAAGCCCUACGAAUGUAAAGUGUGCAAGAACGCUUUCUACAACAAGUCAAACCUCACUCUGCAUCAGCGAACUCACACGGGUGAGAAGCCCUAUCAGUGUGAAGAGUGCUGGAAAGCUUUCUACAGCAAAUCAAAACUCAGCCGCCAUCAGGCCACUCACACAGGUUACUGCUUCUGUCAACUCCAAUCUGCCAUGGGAGGAAACUUCCUCUUUACAGUGGUGUACCACAAAGCCUCAUAACCACCUGAACUCCUGAGACUAAGUGACUAUUGUGACAUUCUGAUCCAAUGCUCAAUCUCAGAUGGAGGAAAAUAAUCAAACAUCUAUGUCAUCCAUCUAAGCCUCAGGGAAUGUUCUGGAAGAGGUGGCUUGAAAGAAUGAAAAAUCAAAAACAGCGUGUGAAGAUGAACCCGCUGAACCUGAACCUGAACCUGAACUGCAUCAGAAUCUGCCCACAGUCUGGAAAAGUUGUCAACACCCUACUGAUCACAUCAUUGCUAGAGAGAUGUCGGUAUAUGUCUUAGGGUUUCUCUUGCUGUGAAGAGACACAAUGACCAGAGCAACUCCUAUAAAGGAAGACAUUUGAUGGGGUGGCUUACAGUUUCAGAGGUUUAGUCCAUUAUCUCCAUGGUGGGACAUGAUGGCGAGCAAGUAGACAUAGUGCUGUAGUUGAGAAUCCUGCAUCUUGAUUGGCAGGGAAGAGGAAGUGAACUGAAGCACUGGAUGAGGCUUGAGCACAUAUGAGACCUCAAAACCUACCACACUGUGAUGCACGUCCUCCACCAAAGCCACACCUACUCCAACAAUGACAUACCUCCUGAUAAUGCCUCUCCCUCUGAGCUUAUAGGAACAAAUUACAUUCCAACUACCACAGUAUAUAACAUAUACUCAUUCCAAAUUAGUUUAGUAAACAGUCAGCACCAUGUUUUACCAGUAAAUAAUUAGUAGCGCUCAUGUUUUGUUUAAAGUUCCUUCAUUUUCUCCUAACACAGUAGCCAUGUUUUAAAGUAUUAACUCUUCUCAUUAGUUCUUAUUAUGCUCACCUCUCUAUCUAUCUAUCUGUCUGUCUGUCUGUCUGUCUGUCUGUCUGUCUAUCUCUCCAUCUGUUCCUGUCACUGAGUAGUCAGAGGGACAGCCUGAGUCAUGGAACUUGGAAAGAAACUUGAGACAAGCGUGCUUGGCUCUGAAGUAGUUGGUCCAAUCCCAUCUGAGAGUCAGCCUUUCAGAGAACUGAGACAGCAUGUGCCUGUAUACUUUUUAAAUAUUAUCUGUGCCCAAAGGGCAUUUAAAAGAAACAUCCAAGAACCCAGAAAGUGAUGACAUCUGUGUCUUUACAAUUAAAAGGUAUAAACAAAAGCAAGAAUGUUCAUGCUUGGUAAGGCAGAAGCAAAGGCAGACUACAGGCAUAAGGCAAGGAGGCCCAAGAACAUGAAGGCUGUCCUAUAUCAGAGCCAGCAGGUUUGUGGACUCAAUGUUGCUGCAGGCUCCUAUGAGCGGGCUGGUAUCUCAACGGCUAUUGCCUGAAGGAGCUCCCGCAUAAUCUUCUCAAAUGCCUUUAGCUGUUUGAACUGUGGGCAGGGUCUGUUGACAUUCUCUGCUAACAUUGUCAAAGGCCAAUUCUAUAAUUUCUAUAAUAUCUGAGGUCAGAUUGAAAACCCACCUCUUCAUAUCACCAAAUCCUGAAAUGAAGGAAUUCAGCAAGUUUAAACAAGUUCUGGCCAACUAGCCCCAGUCAUGGGGGAUCAGUUGCUGCAUUUCAGCUCUCCCUCUUAACAAUCCCAUCAUACAUGAAGCUGUAGCUCUGUAAGUGGAGAUGGCUUGUUUAAAAUCACUAAGGACCUAAGACACAAUAGGCUUCUAUUCUGCCCACAUUCCCCUCUUAGAAAACUUAUCACCAACUCUGAGUCUAAAGGGUUAGAAAUGUACCGGUAUUUCAAAGUGCCACAGAUAGGUAUGGCUCAAGAUCCUCUUGCUUUUGAGCUGAGUCCUAGGGUUAGUGCAGAAACACCAACUGUAGGGAUGCAGAGGAAUGGAUGGUUAGCAGAGAACUUUUUACCUUCUGAAUGAUCAACAGAGUCAGAAAAGAUCAAGGGAGACAAAGGAGGAAGGCAGGGCUCCACUCACUGUCUCAUUUCCUUCUGAAGGAGCUAUCUGCCCUGUGGUGUCUCCUUGUGCCAAUAGGGCAGUAGCCAUUUGCAAUGGCCAGAUAGUAAGGUGAAAAAACCACAAGGACAAGACAUUGAAUGGGAUCCCCUAGAUUUGCUGAGGAGCCUGUCUACAAACAUAAACAUCUUCCCAUUGCUUCCUGGGCAGUGCUCCUGUAACAGAAGUAACAGUAUUUGUCUCUAUAUUCUGACAGGUCAUAGAAAUCUCAUUUUUGUACUUUCUCCUGAAAUGCUUUUACCAUUGCUUACCAUAUGCACAUAUGGCCUGCCCUUUGCUCUGGCAUCCAGGAGUGGGACCGUAGCAUGCUUUAUAAUUUUGUUUAUACUUUCUUGUUGAAUUUUUUAAAAGUUCCCAUGUUUUAGUUUCAUUCCUUUAACCAAAAAAUUCAAACUCUUAAACUAUUACACUUACUAUUUUGCUAUUUGCUUUACCAUGAAUUUUCCAUUUUAAAAUUAUUAAGAAUUUGCGUAUAAAAAUCAGAUCUAAAUCAAUAAGGAUAAUAUAACCUACUUAUGAGAGGCUACUAUGUCAAACUUAAAUUCAAAUUAUGUGCAAAUUAGUUAAAAUUCUGAGCUUGGGUAUGUCACGAGCAAUGCCCAUGCGUCAAAAUAACUUCCUCACAAAGCAUCGUAUUUGAUGUCAUCGAGUAUAUUAAAGAAUUUGAGCUAUGAUAGAGCUGAGGGAUUUGUGUAGUUCACAGAGACUGACCUAGCACGUCAGAGGUCCUGGAUCUGAUCCCCUUGGCUAUACACCCACAGCAGGGGUGGGGUUGGAGACGUACCUCUAGUCAGCAUUUCAGAGGCUGAAGCAGGAGGACACAGAGAUGUUGCUCUAACCAUCUCCUCAGCCUUCCUGGAAACUACAGCUCAUAAAAAAAUAAAGGUACAUGUUUGUUCUUUUAUCUCGUUUAUUUUUCUUGUUUUGUUUGACAUGCGGUCUUUCACCGUAGCUCCUGUAAUUCACUGUGUGGACCAGACUGGCCUCACACUCACAGACACCAGUCUGCUUUGGCAUCCCACCAUGCCUGACUCUACAAGCUUUAUUCAUUUGUCCUUCAAUUUCUUUUUUAAUUUAAUUUUUUUGCUUUUUAUGUCUAUGAGUUUUUUGUGUAUAUUUGUGGACCACGUGCCUGCCUGGUACCUUCAAGGACAAGAAGAAUGUGAUGAUGAAGAUUAUGUUUAGAUGAUAAUUUGAGGCAUCCUGGGCAAUACAGCCAGCCCUUGUCUCAAACACAGAAACAAACCUACACCCAGGCUGGGGUUGUCCAGUUCAAAUGUCAGAGCAGAGUAGGGAAUUGAUGGGGGAGAGUCUUCUGGCUUGUGUUAAUUUCAUUGGUUAAAUAAAGAGACUGCC